AGUGGGGAAUCUUGCACAAUGGGCGAAAGCCUGAUGCAGCCAUGCCGCGUGAGUGAAGAAGGCCUUAGGGUUGUAAAGCUCUUUCGCCAGGGAAGAUAAUGACGGUACCUGGUAAAGAAGCCCCGGCUAACUCCGUGCCAGCAGCCGCGGUAAUACGGAGGGGGCUAGCGUUGUUCGGAAUCACUGGGCGUAAAGCGCGCGUAGGCGGAUUGACAAGUUGAGGGUGAAAGCCCAGGGCUCAACCCUGGAACUGCCCUCAAAACUGUUAGUCUAGAGAUCGAGAGAGGUGAGUGGAAUUCCUAGUGUAGAGGUGGAAUUCGUAGAUAUUAGGAAGAACACCAGUGGCGAAGGCGGCUCACUGGCUCGAUACUGACGCUGAGGCGCGAAAGCGUGGGGAGCAAACAGGAUUAGAUACCCUGGUAGUCCACGCCGUAAACGAUGAGAGCUAGUUGUCGGGCGGCAUGCCGUUCGGUGACGCAGCUAACGCAUUAAGCUCUCCGCCUUGGGAA
rnacentral:rRNA from 1 species